AUAUUUUUCAACAAAUUCAGAAGUGAAUAGAGAAUGCAUAGUAGCUGUCGGCAAAGGAGGAGGAACCAGAAUCUCUCCCAAGAAAUUCUUCAAACAGAAUUUCACACAGGGUAUUCCAUGGAGAAUGAGUAUUUAGGUCAGUUAACGUCCAUACCAGGAUACCUGAAUCCCUCCAGUAGGACUGAAAUCCUGCAUUUCAUAGACAAUGCAAAGAGAGCCCACCAGCUUCCGGGACACUUGACUCAGGAGCAUGAUGCUGUGCUCAGCCUGUCUGCCUACAACGUCAAGCUGGCCUGGAGGGACGGGGAGGAUAUCAUCCUCAGGGUGCCCAUCCAUGACAUCGCCGCCGUCUCCUAUGUUCGGGAUGACGCUGCGCACCUGGUGGUCCUGAAGACAGCCCAGGACCCAGGGAUCUCCCCCAGCCAGAGUCUGUGUGCGGAAAGUUCCAGAGGCCUCAGUGCAGGCUCCCUGUCGGAGAGUGCAGUUGGGCCCGUGGAGGCAUGCUGCCUGGUCAUCCUGGCUGCAGAGAGCAAGGUCGCUGCGGAGGAGCUUUGCUGUCUGCUAGGCCAGGUCUUCCAGGUUGUUUACACGGAGUCCACCAUCGACUUUCUGGACAGAGCGAUAUUUGAUGGGGCCUCUACCCCCACCCACCACCUGUCCCUGCAUAGCGGACCAUGGCCAGACCCAUGGGAAGCUGCUCAGGCUGCCCUGGGAGGCCAGCUGGCAGUGGUGGAGCAGUGGCAGAUGGGGAAGAAUGGAAGGCACCCCAGAGCUGCCUCCUGCAUGGCCCACACAGCAUUUUCAGGAGUCUGUUAGUCCAUUGAAAACGCUUCAUCAGCAAGCUCACUUGAGUUAAGUCUUCAAAAACAUCUGUUUUUCAGAUGUAUUACUUAUUGAGGAUUAAUGGGUUAUAUAAAUGAGGUGCAUAAAAAGCUGUUGGAGGCCGGGUGUGGUGGCUCAUGCCUGUAAUCCCAGCACUUUGGGAGGCUGAGGUGGGCAGAUCACCUGAGGUCGGGAAUUCGAGACCAGCCUGACCAACAUGGAGAAACCCUGUCUCUACUAAAAAAUACCCAAAAAAAAAAAAAGGCUGUUGGAAACAGUGCGGCUUGUUGAGUACAAUUUCUUCUUUUUAUGGAGAUAAGUCCCUGCCCUCUGCCCUUUCCCCAGUAACUUGCACAUCUCAGUGAGGAGAGUAAAUGGUGGAGAACCCUGGGGAAGCCUGUGCUGGUGUGAGGGCUGCUCCUCAGUGCCUCCUUCUUCCCUUUCUUGCUGCUGGUGCCAGAGCCCUUUGUGGGCACCACACGCCCUGUGUUGGCCCAGCAGCUGCAGAGAGGACAGCUGCUGAGCUCUCAGGCAUCCUCUCCAUCUCAUUUAGUCCUCGGUGGCCCAGUGAGAUAGGUGCAAUCUUCAUCCCCAUUUUAGAGAUGGGGAAGUGGAGGCUUAGAAGUCAACAGCUUAUCCAGAUG
rnacentral:sRNA from 1 species